CCAAUCUAUACAGCUAGACAAUGAGUGAAGAAGCAACACCAGCAACACCAGCACCUGCACCCGCUGAGGGCGAACAGAAGCUAUCCAAAAAUGCUCUCAAGAAAAAGCUUAAGGCUGAAGCUGCUGCGAAGGCGAAGGCUGAAAAAGCAGCCAAGAAGGCCGCAGAGGCGGCUAAAAAUCCAAAGAAGGUCCAGGAAGAGGAAA
rnacentral:ribozyme from 1 species